GGAGAGUCCUGGAUCACUAGCCAGUCUGAUUGGCCAAGUUCUGGACAUGUGACCAAUUAGGUCUUGACCAGGAGUUACAGUUGGUGCGAGGUUGCUGAGACAGUUGGUAACUGACCUGUUAUAACUGAGGUUAAGUUUUCACUCCGGGGCUACAGAGGUAGAGACAGUGUGCUCAGGCAUGAUUUCAGGAGAGCUGCUCCUGUCUACUCCCCCAGCACCCAGUUUUAAUUGUUUGUGUGUGUCUGCACACAUGGGAAGCACAGAGGACCAGUUGUGAGGCCAGUUUUCUCAUUCCACCAUGUGGGCUCCAGGAAGAAAGCUUGGAUCAUCUGGUCUGGUGCUGAAGCUGCAACAAAAUUCCUGAACAGGAUGCGAAAGUGUUUCAGCUGAGCCUUGAGAGGUGAACGUACCUUGGCACCUGUCCCCUGGAUGGGACAACUUGAGGAAGGGCCAUCAAUAUUCCUGUUCCCUACCCAGGACACUGCUAAUGUGCAUAUGAGGAGUCUGUAUCUAGCCUCCUGUAGCAGACUCAUCUCCCUCCUGACUUCUUCAUCUAAAGGUGUGGCUGUGGAUUCGAAUGCAGUCUUCCGUGCUGGUGAUGCCAGGUGUGCCAGAGAUUUGCUUGCCAAGGGACCAGGACGCUCUGCUCUUACAUGUUGCAAAAUACUACUAUACAACAGCAUCCAGGUGCAAUUGCUUCCAGGUUCAUGUCUCCUGAUGAAUCCCAGGCUUUUGCAUACAAGUAAAGAAUUCAUAUUUCUCUCAACAAUUAACUAAAGAGGAGUAGAGGAAGAACCAGGUUCCUAGUAAUCCCCACUUCUCAACAUAGACACAUUGGACACCUAUUCUCUGCUAUGAACGAAGGCAGGCUGACACUGUGAUGGUCU